rnacentral:lncRNA from 1 species
AUGACCUCACCCAUAGUAACAUCAACUCAGCAAAACAUAAAUAGUGAACCAAACACCAGCUGGUCAGAGUCUACAGGAAGCAAACGGCCAAACUGUCAAACUGAGAAUGGCAUUCUGAGUAACACUGACUCAACUUUAAACUCUGAUCCAAAAAGAUUUGAAACAACAUCAAUUCUCUCUGCUUCAGAUGAAGACAACCAAAAACAUGAGAUAAAUCAAAACAUUGAAGAAAAAGGCUUUAAAACCAAAGAGGAGUGUCAGAAAGAUGAUAAACAUCCAGUGUCAUCGGGGUAUGUGUUUGAGAAAGUUGCUAAAAAUCUGAGAGACAGAAGGCUCAGGGAGCUGGAGCUAAAGCACCAGCACCGUGAGAAAGAGGGAGACGGAGGAGGGGCGAGCGGUGUUUCUGGAGAUGGUGCAAGUAAAAAUUUGAUUGAUGUUUUGGAAAUGACUUCAGCGUCACCAGGUAAGAACAGCCCCUCAAAUAUCCCUGCUCAGGAUAAGCUGUCCUCCAGUAAAGAAAGUGGAUUUGCGAAGGACGAUGAGGGUGCCCAGACUAAAGAUUUGCGAGCAAAGUUGUCAGGCUUCAUAUUCAAACCAAAAAGGAUGAGACCUUCAGUCCACAACCACACCUUUAAUGCCAGCUCAGAGAUCAGCACGGGGUUCCAAACUGAAUGUAACCAACAUGGCAGAGAUUUAAGCACCAACAAAGAAAGCAGAGGAAGUAGACUGGAGCCAGUUAGUCAUGUUGAGUCAGCCAGCCAUCAUACAGACACGGAGAAGAAUAAAAGGCAGAAUCAGGACCAAAUUCUUUCAAAAAGUGGAAGAAGGGGACAACAGGCGAGCUGUGUCAGUGGCAUGGUAAACAGUAGAUCUGAAGCCAGUGUUUGUAUGAUAUCAGAAGAGUUGGAUGAAGAUGUUUUUUCCUCUGGAAAGGACAAAUCAGCACGAAGAAAACCCGCAGUUAGCAUGAAGGAGGGAGUCGAUGCAGAUCAUCUGCAUCAACAACAAAGAGCCAGAGUGGACACUGGUGAUGAGACUAAAGGGAAUAGCUUUACUUGCAUCCCACCUUUUAAACCAAUCGGUGAUCAAGCAUCGUCCAAAUCGGGGCCCACCAAGUCCACAGUGGCAUUCUCAACCCUGGCUCAACUCUCAAGGUUCUCAUUCACCGGCUCAACUGAUCCCACCACCACUCAAACGAAAGUAGGAAAAAAUCUUCCUCUUGGAGAGGAAAAAAGUUCACUUAAAGUAGAUGAUGCUUUCUGCAAGAAAACUCAACAUUUCUCCAAACACAGUGCCUUAGGAAAGAAGAUCGGGACUGUAGUAAUGAACACAGAGCUACCACAUGGACAGAAACAAACGGGGGCAGAAUCACCAACAAAAACAAUGUCCAAGUGCCAAGAAAAGCAGACCGAGCCUACUCCUUCCACAUGUUUUAACAGUGCUACAGUGGUGGAUGAUCGACCUGUUGACCACCAAAGCGCUGUCAAUCUGAAGAAGAGAAAGUGCUUUGAGCUGGGCCCUCCAAGUUGUGUUAGUGGUUCUAAGCGAGCGUUCUCAGGACUGCCUCUGUUUGGCUCUGAUGAGUUAAGUAAUGAUGUUCUUGACACUGACUGGGACCAAGAAGUUUCAAAGACGAACAGAAUCUGA